rnacentral:rRNA from 1 species
UCAGGCCUAACACAUGCAAGUCGAGCGGCAGCACGGGUACUUGUACCUGGUGGCGAGCGGCGGACGGGUGAGUAAUACCUAGGAAUCUGCCUGGUAGUGGGGGAUAACGUUCGGAAACGGACGCUAAUACCGCAUACGUCCUACGGGAGAAAGGGGGGGAUCUUCGGACCUCUCGCUAUGAGAUGAGCCCAAGUCGGAUUAGCUAGUUGGUGGGGUAAAGGCUCACCAAGGCUACGAUCCGUAGCUGGUCUGAGAGGAUGAUCAGCCACACUGGAACUGAGACACGGUCCAGACUCCUACGGGAGGCAGCAGUGGGGAAUAUUGGACAAUGGGGGAAACCCUGAUCCAGCCAUGCCGCGUGUGUGAAGAAGGCCUUAGGGUUGUAAAGCACUUUAAGCGAGGAGGAAGGGCUUCGGGUUAAUACCUUGAAGCAUUGACGUUACUCGCAGAAUAAGCACCGGCUAACUCUGUGCCAGCAGCCGCGGUAAU